AUGAUCUGAGUUCAAACCGGUGUAAGCCAGGUUGGUUUCUAUCUUUAAUUUAAUAAAAUAUUUUAGUACGAAAGGACCAAAUAUUUUUUAUAAUAAUUUAAUUUGUGAAUAU
rnacentral:rRNA from 1 species